GAUGAACGCUGGCGGCGUGCCUAACACAUGCAAGUCGAGCGAUUCUCUUCGGAGAAGAGCGGCGGACGGGUGAGUAACGCGUGGGUAACCUGCCCUGUACACACGGAUAACAUACCGAAAGGUAUGCUAAUACGAGAUAAUAUGCUUUUAUCGCAUGGUAGAAGUAUCAAAGCUUUUGCGGUACAGGAUGGACCCGCGCCUGAUUAGCUAGUUGGUAAGGUAACGGCUUACCAAGGCGACGAUCAGUAGCCGACCUGAGAGGGUGAUCGGCCACAUUGGAACUGAGACACGGUCCAAACUCCUACGGGAGGCAGCAGUGGGGAAUAUUGCACAAUGGGCGAAAGCCUGAUGCAGCAACGCCGCGUGAGCGAUGAAGGCCUUCGGGUCGUAAAGUUCUGUCCUCAAGGAAGAUAAUGACGGUACUUGAGGAGGAAGCCCCGGCUAACUACGUG
rnacentral:rRNA from 1 species